rnacentral:rRNA from 1 species
CUCGUAGGUGGCCAACUAAGUCAGACGUGAAAUCCCUCGGCUUAACCGGGGAACUGCAUCUGAUACUGGAUGGCUUGAGAUUGGGAGAGGGACGCGGAAUUCCAGGUGUAGCGGUGAAAUGCGUAGAUAUCUGGAGGAACACCGGUGGCGAAGGCGGCGUCCUGGACCAACACUGACACUGAGGAGCGAAAGCCAGAGGAGCAAACG